UCCGAGGUAGCUCAGCGGUCAGAGCAGGUGCCUGUUAAGUACUUGGUCGAGGGUUCGAAUCCCUCUCUCGGAG
rnacentral:tRNA from 1 species